rnacentral:tRNA from 2 species
GCCGUACUAGAGAAAUGGUUAACUCAUUGGCCUCCUAAGCCAAAGAUUCUCGGUUCGAGUCCGAGGUACGGUG